rnacentral:rRNA from 1 species
UACAGAGGUCUCAAGCGUUGUUCGGAUUCAUUGGGCGUAAAGGGUGCGUAGGCGGCGCGGUAAGUCGGGUGUGAAAUCUCGGAGCUUAACUCCGAAACUGCAUUCGAUACUGCCGUGCUUGAGGACUGGAGAGGAGACUGGAAUUCAUGGUGUAGCAGUGAAAUGCGUAGAUAUCAUGAGGAAGGCCGGUGGCGAAGGCGGGUCUCUGGACAGUUCCUGACGCUGAGGCACGAAGGCCAGGGGAGCAAACGGG